UGUGUUAUAAGAAACGAAUACCUGAUGGCUUUAUGAAGGUGAUGUGUGAAUAUUAAGCUUACAGGAAGCGCUUGCUAAUUGCGUGACUUACGUAAAUAAUGA
rnacentral:lncRNA from 1 species